rnacentral:rRNA from 1 species
GAUGAACGCUGGCGGCGUGCUUAACACAUGCAAGUCGAACGAUGAAGCCCAGCUUGCUGGGUGGAUUAGUGGCGAACGGGUGAGUAACACGUGAGUAACCUGCCCUUAACUCUGGGAUAAGCCUGGGAAACUGGGUCUAAUACCGGAUAGGAGCGUCCACCGCAUGGUGGGUGUUGGAAAGAUUUAUCGGUUUUGGAUGGACUGGCGGCCUAUCAGCUUGUUGGUGGGGUAAUGGCUCACCAAGGCGACGACGGGUAGCCGGCCGGAGAGGGUGACCGGCCACACUGGAACUGAGACACGGUCGAGACUCAUACGGGAGGCAGAAGGGGGGAAUAGUGGACAAUGGGCGCAAGCCUGAUCAAGCCAUACCGCGUGGGUGAAGAAGGCCUGCGGGUUGUAAAGGCCGUUUGUUGGGAAAGAAAAGAAGCAGGUUAAUACCCCGCUGUGCUGACGGUACCCAAAGAAUAAGCACCGGCUAACUUCGUG